GGAACAACCUUGCCUUUAGGACGGGGAUUAAACCCGGGAAACUGGGUAAAAAUACCCGAUAGGUUUCGAUUGCUGGAAUGCAUCGAGAUUUAAAGCUCCGGCGCCUAAGGAUGGGUCUGCGGCCUAUCAGGUAGUAGUGGGUGUAGCGUACCUACUAGCCUACGACGGGUACGGGUUGUGAGAGCAAGAGCCCGGAGAUGGAUUCUGAGACACGAAUCCAGGCCCUACGGGGUGCAGCAGGCGCGAAAACUUUACAAUGCUGGCAACAGCGAUAAGGGAACCUCGAGUGCCAGGUUACAAAUCUGGCUGUCGAGAUGCCUAAAAAGCAUUUCAUAGCAAGGGCCGGGCAAGACCGGUGCCAGCCGCCGCGGUAACACCGGCGGCUCGAGUGGUAACCGUUAUUAUUGGGUCUAAAGGGUCUGUAGCCGGCCGGAUAAGUCUCUUGAGAAAUCUGGCAGCUUAACUGUCAGGCUUUCAGGAGAUACUGUCUGGCUCGAGGCCGGGAGAGGUGAGAGGUACUUCAGGGGUAGGGGUGAAAUCUUGUAAUCCUUGAAGGACCACCAGUGGCGAAGGCGUCUCACCAGAACGGACCUGACGGCAAGGGACGAAAGCUAGGGGCACGAACCGGAUUAGAUACCCGGGUAGUCCUAGCCGUAAACGAUACUCGCUAGGUGUCGGCCACGGUGCGACCGUUGUCGGUGCCGUAGGGAAGCCGUGAAGCGAGCCACCUGGGAAGUACGGCCGCAAGGCUGAAACUUAA
rnacentral:rRNA from 1 species